CUUGAGACAAGCUGCUUUGCUUCUCUGGGCCUCAGGCUGCUCAUGCACGCUUGUGCACGAAAUGGAGAUUUAGCACACACACACACACACACACACCCGCCACGGGGCAAGGAUGACAUCAGGUGAGCUAAGAUAGCAAAGUGCUCAGAGGCGGUUCUUGAAUAAUGAUGAAGAUUUGCACCUGUCGGGACACUUUUGGUUACUGAAACCAGAAAUGCAUCUAAUGGCCCCAGGACUUGUUAGAAAUGCAGGAUCUCGGGGGCUCAGCCCAGACCCACCAAACCUCUGGUGGUAGGGCAGCACCCUGUGCAUUAACAAGCCUCCUGGAAGAUUCUGGCGCUAAGGACAUGCAAAUAUCUCAGCAGAGACCUGCCUUUCCCCCACUGCCCUGCCCAGAGGGCCCUGAGGACCCAAGGAACAGGGGCACCGAGACAUAAAAUCCUGGAUCCUCAAACCAUGGCACCUUUAUUUGAAAAAAAAAAAAAGAA